ensembl:lncRNA
GGAAGAGUUGCACCGGACAACUCACGCCUUUCCCACUCUACGAAAAAGGUUCAUCUGCUAAUGUCAGUUGGCUGCAUCCACAGAUGGCAUCAUAUCAACCAGCUCCUGCUCUACUGAGUCCUUCUCUGCUAUUUUCCUGAUCUCUUAUAAAGAGAUAAACUUACAAAGUUUGCUGUUUCAGUGAUAGUUUUUAUAUCAUAUUAUAUCACUUCAAACAGAGGUGAUCCAGUAAUGCUGCACUAAUGAAUUAGACUAACUAUUCACUUUAGCUAAAGUUAUUAAGUUAGCUAAAGAGUUGGGAUGCUGUGUAAGACAUAAAUAAAGCUAAAAUACAAAGGUUUGGACACCGUUUUGCAUGUUUCCCUACUGUAGGGGUCUCUGCAAGCAUACAGGGCUCUGAGAGGGUCCAAGAUGACAACUUUGGAAUUCUACUAGAAACAGU